GGUUCAGGUUCAAAUGUUACCUCGAUAAUUUUUUUAUUUUUUUCAGGGGCUGUUUCUGUAACCUUUCCAGAUCUCAACAAAAUCGCACUCACAUUAGCAUUAGAAUCCUUUGGAUUGACAACUGUUUGGGUUGGAAGCUGGUUCGACCCUUGGGCUUGCAUGUUAUUUAUUUGAGUAACAAGUUAUCCCAUUUGCGUGUUCAAGAUCUGAAUGCUAGAAUCG
rnacentral:lncRNA from 1 species